UACGUAGGGUCCGAGCGUUGUCCGGAAUUAUUGGGCGUAAAGGGCUCGUAGGCGGUUUGUCGCGUCGGGAGUGAAAACUCAGGGCUCAACCCUGAGCGUGCUUCCGAUACGGGCAGACUAGAGGUAUGCAGGGGAGAACGGAAUUCCUGGUGUAGCGGUGAAAUGCGCAGAUAUCAGGAGGAACACCGGUGGCGAAGGCGGAUCUCUGGGCCAUUACUGACGCUGAGGAGCGAAAGCGUGGGGAGCGAACAGG
rnacentral:rRNA from 1 species